UCUCAUCCUCAUCCAAUAUCACCCUCUUGUUUCUUCAAAGACCAUGUAGAUUUCCACCAAUUCCAGAUUUGAAAAACCUAGAAACCCUAGAUUUUUUCCCUUUUUUGAUUCUUCAAAUUUCAAGGUUCGAUUCAAGCUGAAAAUUACAUUAAUCUAUUGUUCUCAAUGUUAAUUUCAGUUCGUAUCGAAGCUAUCAGAAUCAAGGCGAGCUUCCUGGAUUUGCUUCAAAGUGAAUCAUUUUCUUUUCAUUAGGUACAUACUCACUUUGUUCUAUCUCUUUGUGUUUUUCAUUUGUUUUUUUAAAAAGAAAGAAAGAAAAAGAGUAGAGGAAUCGUAGGUCUAGGUGUUUAAUUGAAAUUAUUUGCUGAGUUUUUAAAUUAGCUUAAUUAGGUUGGGUUAGCUCAUUAAUUAGUUAACUAACAGUAGAUUAACAUUUGGCUUAAUAUAUUUGUUUUAAGUAUUCACAUGUUGGAUUUGUUUUAGUGCGUUGUGUGAUUUAGAAAUUUAAUUGCAUGAUAAUUAGUCUUAAUUAUUGAGUUAAUUAGAUUUAUUUUGCUUCAUUGUUUCUUGGGAUUGAUCCGUGUGAUUUUUUUUUGUUAUGGCUCAUUUGUAAUUAACAAAAACUAAAAGGUUUAAUUGAAAAUCAAAAAUAGGAAAUAUUAGAUAGGCAUAUAGGAACCUUCUGGAUAAUGGACAACUGUCCAAAGUUGAUAAGAAAAAGAUGCUGAAAAUUGGAUAAAACAUCUGAAAAGGAUAGCUGUACAAAAAUUGAUUAAAAAGAUGCUCUUGUUUCCUUUUUUUUUUACGGCUGAUAGACUCCCUUUGAUAUUCCUUCAUUCAUUUUUCUAUAUAUAGGGAUACAGACUGAAUUCUGGGGGACAUAUACUCACUCCCAUUCUCACUGAUUUCUCUAAAAAAACACUCUAAAAAAUCCAAUUGGAAUACAAAAAAAAAAAGAUUCAAAGUUGCCUUUUUUCUAAGUUCUCUACUGAAUCUGUUUCACUUGGCUGGGAUCUCGAGCUGUAUUCAAGCUUAAGAAACUGCUCGUUUAACUUAAAUUUUGUUGCUGUUUAUUGCUGGCUUGAUUUUCAUCUUUCAUCUUUGUAUCAUCAAAAGUUCAUUGGUUCUAUCUAUAGGUACGUGGAAUUUUUUAUGUUAUUCUCUUUUGAAUAUGAGAAUGAUGAAUGAACUGUUGUUUCCAUAAGCAUGUUUUAAACUUCUAAUGUUGUUUAUCAGAUCUGUUUGUUCUGUUCUGUUCAUGAAUUUGUAUCCUUAAGCUAAAUUUAAACUAAAAUCAUCUGCUACUUCAAAGACUUCAUAUGUUGAUCCACUAUCUGGUUUGACCUUCACAUCAGUAUGCUUAAAUAUAUUGCAUUAAAAUAGAUUUUACUCUUUCCCUCAUUUGAAAUUUAGUUUGGUUUGCCCAUCUCAUCAAUCAUUCUUGAAAGAACACUUAUUGAGUUAAAAUUUAUCAGUUAUUAAAUUUGAUCACUAGUUGGUCAAAAUUUGAUGAUUGAGAAGGUCCAGGCAACGUUGAAGUGCAUCAAUUGAUAGUCUUGCCUUUCUAUGAGCAAUAAGGGGAAUCUAAGAAUUAUGACAGAGGCGUUCUAAUAUUUUAGCUGUUAAGGUUGUAUUUGAUAGAGUAGUCACUGUGAUGUACUAUUUUAUUUUUUUUUUUAAAUUCCAGUAGAUUCGAAGUUUGGUUUUUUGUCCCUUUUGUAAUAUGUUCAGUUUUGAGAGAGUAGUACCCUAGAUUGAUUUGACUUCUGGAAUGUAUGAAAUCUGAUUUGGAACUCUUAUAUUGCUAUCAUUGUUUAGUUACUCUUCAAUUCUUGAUUGUCGUUUGGAUUUGCAUAGUCGUAUGCGAUUCUAGGCUGUUGAGUCGCCUUGACCAAGGCAUUAAGCCCAAAAGUGAUUUAAUUAGAUUAGGUAAUGUUAGAAGAGUUCACAUGGACUCAUUACAAGCUAUGGGCUACCUGAGAAUAUUUUGGCCUGCUUCAGGAACCUGAGUGACCCGUGAGUUUGAUAAGCAUUAAUCGAUUCACUUUCCUAAUGACUUAAUUAGUUUAAUUCCUGUGAUUGGCUAAGUCGUCAAAAAUUUGAACUUAGAAUCACUGUAAAUUUUCUUUAGUUCAUCUGGGAACAAACGUUGGGAUUAAAGGGAGGGCUUCUUUUGAUAUUGAGCCAAUUAAAACAAACAACACUCUUCCAACGUAAAAUGCCACAAAUGCAAGACUCAAGCCCAUUCCCCAAACUUUAGGAGAACGGCCAAUUCAUAGACAUACGUAAUUGCUUUAGGCGCAAUUAACAAUAAAUCAUUAUGAUUAUGGGUAUGGUUCCCGUAUCAUAGUUAUGAUACAUAAUUCCUAAUUCGAGUGUUCUUUUGACGUGACUCAACCACAACUUCAAAUAACAAUAAAAUAAAUACGUAAAUCGCGGGUGCAUUUCACAUGAUGUGGUUUGCAGUAUGUACUAAAAUGGCAAGUGUACGACAUUGUAGCUUGUUUAAAUAUAUUCCAUAAAUACUAAAAGGGUUAAAUAAAUAUUUAAAAGCGGUUAGAAAGUAAAAGUGCACCUAAGUCUUAAAUUAUGUAAUAAUUCAGAUAAUUAGGCCGAUUAUUAAUAGCUGAGCGACCGUGCUAAAAUCACAAAACUCGGGAGUGCCUCACACCUUCUCUCGGGUUAACAGAAUUCCUUACCGGUCUUCUGUGUUUGCGGACCAUAAAUAGAGUCAAAUUUCUUUGAUUUGGGAAAAAGGAGGCGUGAUAGCUCUGGCGACUCUGCUAGGGAUCGAAACCUAGAAUCUCUGGUUCAGGGUUCAAAAUUCGAGCUUAGAAUAACUGUUAUACUUGACUUUUGUUUAUUAUCUGAUUUUUUACGUGUUUGAUUCUAAUGUGAUAAAUGCCAUUUUUUACCGCUUUGAUAUUGUUUGAACUAUAUAUAAAACUGUUACAAACCCUUUUUCUCUCUGAGUCUUCUAAAUUUUCUGGGAAGUUCACGCUGGCAUGAAUUCUUCUCUGUUUAUGUCAUACCCUAAUUUAGAAUGAGGACCGGAUCAGUUACAAAGCCGGAUGGCCUUUUGGUUCCCGAUACGUUGCCCCUCCCCCGACUCGAGUUGUUCGCUCGGGUAAGCUAGGUCUAGAACAACACACCCAGGAUUCAAACCUAGAAUGACAUAACCUCAUGGCGGAUCCCUAGUAGGUAAGUUUGUUUGCAUCACGUACAUUUGAUUUUAGGGACUCAACACAUGGGUUGGGUCCGUCUAGGACAUGUGUAUCCAAAUUAAAAGAUCAUCCUAAUACAUUUUAUGUGCUUCCUAUACAUUUGUCACGACCCAAAAUCCACUAAGGGUCGUGAUGGCGCCGUACACCGCUGCUAGGCAAGCUAACCAAAAUACUUAAUUAAAUGCACGCUUUAAUAAUUUUGAAAACUAUGAAUUUUCCUUCAGUUCUACUAGUAAAAGGUAAUCAAUUCAAAUUAAAUAUAAAUGUUAAGAAGUUAAUACAAGAUACCCCAUAAUCAUUCCAGAACCCGGUGUCACAAGCGCAUGAGCAAUUUCUAGAAAAUAAUAUAAUAUAACAACCAUCCAGAAUACAAUAUUGGACAGAAAGUAAAUACAAUAAUAUGAAAGAGACUCUGUUGGCUGCAGGUCAUCUCGAGAAGUGUAGCUCACCUAAGUCUCGGUAUCAACCAUGCUGCUACGCCCACUAGACCACUAGAGAUAUAUGUGCAUGUGCAACAAAAAUGCACAGCAAGUGUAGUAUGAGUACGAAAACAACGUGUACCCAAUGAGUAUCCCGUCUAAUCUCGAAGAAGUAGAGACGAGAGGUCGACUUCGAUACUUACUAGUGGUCCAAUAUUAAUAAUUGUAAAGAAAUGGGAGGAGAUCAUAAAUUCUAUGAAGCAAUUAUAAACUCAUAAAGCCAGAUAAUAGGUAAACAACUUCUCAAAUAAUAAUGGAUUCCCAAGAUUUACUUUUCAUCAUCUUUUAUCAAUUUAUUUCCGGCCAGGAAAGGCAAUAUCAACAUUUAUAAAUCUCAGGCAAACAAUACAAGCAUGCGCAUAUCAUGUCGAGGUCGUACGGUCUGAUCCAACAUAAAUGUAAAAUGUGCACUGCCGAGGGUCGAACGACGCGAACCAUAGAUGCAUCUAUUACCCCGCUCGUGAAUCAUACAUGCGACACGGUCAACAUAAAUAAACAGACACCCUGCUCGCGAAUCAUACAAGCGACGCGGUCAACAUAAUUAAACAGUCACACCGCUCGCGAAUCAUACAUGCGACACAGGUACACAUAGAAAUACAUGCUCAAACAACAAAUUAAUAAUUUAUCGGGGAAUGUUUAUCCAAAUAAAAGUCAAUUCUCUUUUAGCGAUUUAAGAAAAUGAAGUUUAAUCUCUUUUAGAAAUUCAUUUACCAAUUCAAUAAGAUAUAAGCAACUCAACUGCCAGCAAGAUUACAGAUAUUCCAAGUAUAGCAUGCUUUUGGGUCCUAGACUACCUGGACUUACACAUAAUAGUAGGUACGCACGGACUCUUGUCUCGUCCUGCGUACACAGCCUUGAAGGAAAAUGAAUGUGAUAAGACAGAACAAAAUUUUAUUUGAAUUCCAAGUUUUAAUAGAAAUUUUUUAUUGACGAGCUACAGCAAACCACAAAUAGUAGCACAUAACCAAUUAUUUCACCUAUGGGGACAAUUCCCUCUUACAAGGUUAGAAAGGAGACUCACCUCGCUCCGAAGCCUAUAUUCCGGUUCAAGAACGCGCUCAAACCUCCAAUUCGGAGCCGAACGAUCCAAAACUAUUCAAAUAGGGUAAGAACUAGUCAAUACAUGCCCAAAAGUUCAUAUUCUAAUUAUUAAACCAAUUUCCAAACCCUAAAUGUAAGGUUCCUAAAAUUCAUCCACGUGCCCGGAUUCUGAAAAUUUUUGAAGAAAAUUGUUACCCAUAACCUAAGGAUCAAGAAUAUAUGAUUUUUACACCAUUCCCUAACAAAUUUCGUGGUUAAAUCUUGUUUUUACCAAAUUCUAGGUUUUUCACCUAAAACCCUUGAUUUUCCCUAAUUUUCACAUGUUAAUCUACCCAUAAUCUAUGUCUUCGCAAAUGCGAAGGUGACAGCCUCACAAAAUCGAUCCUUCGUUCGCAAAUGCGAACUUUCCCCUAGAAGCCCAGGCUCGCAAAUGCGAAUAGAAACUCGCAAAUGCGAGGUCGCAUUUGCGACCAAUGCAUUGCAAUUGCGAUCAUACCAGUACCAGCAAUCCUAUUUCUUAGCAAAUCACUCCGAAGCUAUCCCGGAUCACACCCGAGCCCCCGGGGCUCCAAACCAAGCACCCUCAUAACUCUAAAAAUAUAACACGGACUUCCUCGAAGACUCAAAUCACAUCAAACAACGCUAAAACCAUGAAUCACACUCCAAUUCAAGCUUAAUGAACUUUAAGAUUUCAACUUCUACUUCUGAUGUUUAAACUCGUCAAAUCACGUCUGAUUGACCUCAAAUUUUGCACACAAGUCAUAUUUAAUAUUACGGACCUACUCCAACUUCCUGAAUCAGAUUCCGACCCCGAUAUCAAAAAGUCCACUUCUGGUCAAACUUCUUAAAAACCUUCAAUUUUCUAUCUUUAUCCAAAUGACCCCAAAAUGACCCAAGGACCUCCGAAUUCACUUCCGACCGCGCUCCCAACACCACAAUCACCAUACAAAGCUAUUCCCAGACUCGAAAUCCUAGACGGACAUUGAUAACACUGAAAUGCACUUCAACCCAAACUUAUGAAAUUCUUCCAAAAUGCUAACUUCCACAAUAGGUGCCGAAAUGUUCCCGGGUCUUCCAAAACCAGGUCUGGACAUACGCCCAAGUCCAAAAUCAUCAUACGAACCUACUGGAACCUUCGAAUCCCGAUUCUGAGGUCGUUUACUCAAAAUCCAAUCUUAGUCAAUUCUUUUAACUUAAGGUGUCCGAAAUGAGAACUUUCUUUCCAAAUCAACUCCGAACUUCCCGGAAUUCAGUUUCGACCAUGCGUACAAGUCAUAAUACCUGAAGUUAAUCUGCUCAUGGCCUCAAAUUGCGGAACGACGCACUAGAGCUCAAAACAACCAGUCGGGUCGUUACAUUCUCUCCCACUUAAACAUACGUUCGUCCUCGAACCUGUUGAGAACUACACUGAAGUAGUUUGAAAUUACUGUUUAACACCUCGUGCACCUACCCUUGAUACCAUAACUCAGUUGAGCACCUUAGCUCGAUCAAUUCUGAAGAUAUUCCCUUUUAUUCAAGCAAAUAAGCCUUAGAGCCCAAUUCCAACAUCCGGAACUCUCUGUCAGGCCUGUUUCCAACAAACGCUCACCAUAUCAAUAACUACACGCAGCAUCAAUACAUGACUGCAUACCUUAGCCAAAUUCACACUUUGAACCACUUUACUCACAAGACCACAAUAACAUUCUCUGAUCAAAUUAGUCGAAAUUCCACGAACCUGAUGCUCCCAAUGCACCUCAUGAUAUAUAUAAGUCUUGCUAUAACUCUUACAAUACCGCCACGAUGGAAGAGAUGUGUAGAAAUUCAUAACCAACUGCCGAAUCAACAAUUCAUUGGGUCUAUACUCCUGACAAGAACCAUCACCUCAUUCUGAACUAAAUAAUAGUCUUUGCUCCUUAAUAUACUUCAUAUACUCAGAUUGUAAUGAUCCUAAAUCGAAAGAUCUCGUCUCACCCAGUGCGAAUUGCUCAGGCAAUAAGCCACCCCGUACAUGAUCAAAAGUCUCAUAUGAUGCCAUAAUGUGCCAAUAGGUUACCAAUUUGAACACGAUACAAAAGGAAAACGAACUCUGAAAAGGAAAUCCAAUUACCCCAUUGGCGAAUCAUACAUGCGACGCGGUCAACAUAAUAAAACAGUCACACCACUCGCGAAUCAUACAUGCGGCGCAGGCACACAAUAAAUAGGAGUUUUCCUCAGAAAGAUAGAAAACAAAAUGCAUAAAAACAGAUAUAGGGAACUGUACUUGAUAUCACACUGUUGCGGCGCGCAACCCGAUCCAAACAACAUAACCAUGGUGGCGUGCCACCCGAUCCACACAUAAAAUUCACAUAAGGAGAUACACACCGAGCUAGAUUGCUCAUUAAAACAAAAUACCGAAUAUCAGUCACAAGCAUGCUAAGUGCAUAAUACCAUCCCUGGGGAGACAUAUAGCAUCAUAGGACAAAACUCAAGCACAACUGAGGUACGAUAUACGAUCUGAAUCUCGAGAGCCAUCUUGCUCAUAUAACAUCAUCUCUGCGCGGAACCUCAACAUAUAAGAAAUUUACCAAGCCAUCUCGCAACUCAUACGGUGCAAUAUAUCAUUACAUGAAAUAGCUGACAACAAUAUAGUACCCCGACUACUCUCCCAUAAGGAGCGCAUUGCUAAAAUGAACACAUCUGGCCUGAUAUAGAGCCCAUAUUCACAUUUAGAUCCAUCCACAGACCUCAAGCUGAUUCUGAUCACACUAAACUAGGCUAAUAAUCUUUCAAAGGUCCAUAAUAACUCCCCUUUUUCUCAUAACACCCCAGAACUACCAUUAUGACGGAAGUAAUCCUCCACAAUCCACAACCCAAUAAACCGAGUGCCCUCCCGACAUCAAUUCUCAAUUUAACGACAUCACUACAAUCUUCAUACUUGGUUUAACUCUUCAAUCAAUCAAGUGUCUACAUGCCACACUUAUACAACCUUCUCGUGGGGCACGCUCCCACAAACUUCCGUAAUAGAUAACAGGUUUGUACAUCUAAAACACCGGCCGCACUAACGCUGAAAAGCGAUCAAGAAUCCUUAACCAGGAUGCAACGCCUUUUUCACAAAGCACCAAUCUCAAGUGACGCUGAGGACAAUACCAACUUACUUUAAACAUCGAAACUCCCUUCUUGCUCAUCCAAGCCCGUGACAUCCUUGUCAACACUGAACUGCAACCUUGAUCCUUACUUCAAUUUCCAUACCACUUACUGCACCCAACAUGCCAAUACGCGAUAGAACAUGAUUUUCAUCAUAACUCCGGAACCACUAAUAGGUUAACGCUUCAUCAUAUAAAAACUUUUCACUUAACUCACUUCAGGAGAACCAUAGUAACACACAGGUGAAUUCUCAUAACCGUAGAAUAUGCAAAUCUCUAAGUAGUAGUCUAAGCCACCAUAGCUCUUCCGGGAUCCGCCUCCACAUAACAGGCCAUAAUAGUAGAAUGCUUCUGAAUAACAUUUACGGCGGCCGACAAGCCUCACAUGUACCAUUACAAAUCACUUGCAUAACUUGAUCACGCUGAAGGAACUGAUCACUACCACCAAUAUGCCAAUUCAACUAUGGCUAACCAAUCUAUCUUCUUCCAAUUUAUCCUUGAUUGUCUUAGAAAUAAUAACUCUAUUCAACACAUGACACACUCCAUUCACACUCAUCCCGAGUGACCUUGAAUCAUGAAACCAUGCUGUCUCAAAUCCCACGAACGAUUUCAUAUUUCCCAAAUGCUAAACUGCAAGUCAAAACAUCAUAGAACAUUCUGGGCCUCUUCUCAUAAGCUGCUACAAAGCUUGAUUCUUGACCGUACCUAUAGGCUCGAAAUCAUUAGGCACCACGCUUUAACUUUUGAAUUCACUAGGACCGCUGAUAAGAGUCACCCGCUCUGACUUGGCCCCGAAUAUAAUCAACUUCACGAAUCUUCUAGCACAUGAAUAUCCUCACGACGAUGCACCCGGUAGAAUCAUUUUCCUUCAAACCUGCAUCCAUACAAGGCAUGAAUCAUGAAUCCUUCUUCAAGUCUGAACAUGAGCCAAUAAGGCCAACUAUAUAGCACCUCUAACAAUUCCUUUGCUCAAAUUACCACUUAUGUUCUUUUCCUGUAGCUGAAAUAACCCAUCAAUGUGCUAAUAACCAGAAACUUUGCAAGUAGUUAACCAUGCAACCCAAUCAUAGGCGGUGGGACUCUCCCACUUAGCUUGAAGACACUAUUAUACAACUCUGGAACCCACCAAGUUUCUUUCUCUCUUAUUGACAUGACUUUGCGCAAUCGAACCGCCAGGUUCCUUGAAAUAUUUCCGUUAAUAUCUCAUGAACACUCUGAAUCUCUAGCAAUAUUCACAUAUUCGACCUCUUACUGGAUAGCCAGCAAAAUCCUUCACAGAAGCUUUGCCAACCACGUGACCGUUGACCUACUCACAGGAAAUAACCCACCUGUGGAAUUUACGUGCCGACAUCUUCCAACUCUGUUGCACGGGGUAUAAUCACUACGACAUCAACAACCCAUCCUGAGUCCGGGCUCACUCUCUAGCUGCAUAAGUCCAUUCACUCCUCGUGGACAUCAACUAAUUGUGUGACAAUAUCUUCAAAUUCAAAGUUAUGUUGUAUCCUUUUUCAUUUCACGCAAUUCCUUCUGUUAUAUCAAAUCUCUUGCUACAUAAUAGCCCACACUUCAAAUUAAAUCCGUAGACCCCCAAUCACCAAUCACUAAAAUUCCCAAAUUAUUCCAAACUCUCCUUAAGGUGCGUAGUCAUUCUACCACAAAGCCCACACGCAACUCCGCCACUCUCCCACUUUGGCGGAACUCACCCCUUUAAUCGACUACUCGACCUUUGCUUCUUAUAACUGGCCUUCUAGAAAUUUUAACCACCGUCUGACACUCCCCGCAUGUCCUUUCUCAUCCUUUGCUGCUCAGUUAUUGCCUUAAAUAAAAUCUAUCUUCGCAGCACUUGAACCCUCAAAUCGCUACUAACCUUAAACUUUUUCAAAGAAAAUCUUUCUCGAGCUGUCAACAUUAGAAACACUGAUUCAAUCCUGAACCACCUGUACCCUGUGAUAUCUGACAGUCGUUUAUCCCAUAUUAUUUCAUAAUAUCUUACCCCCAAAGGUGAAUUGUAGAAGACCAUAACACAUACAAUCGAGGAAGACGACACUACAUCGCAGAUGAAAAUUCCACCACGCUCGAAAAUACCAAGUCUCGUUACUCCAUCACCACAAAUCUGUACAUUCAUAGGCCAAUUGCUUUUCCUUCGCCGGAAAUGAAAUAUCAGAUCUCUGAAUUGUGCACUGAAUAGACUUCCUCUCAAAUUAUUCACAGCACUAACACAUAGGAAAGUAUCCUACCAUCAAGUCAAUACUGUGUGAUAACCAACCAUGAGCAUCAUAGCAACCUGUGCACAACCUCCAAGAUCUUAGAAGCACAACUACCGAGCCGAAAUGAUAGAAAAAAAUCCUUCCUCAAGGCGACGACAAUAGCCUAACUAACUAUACCGGGAGAAACAUCCCGCACCACAUCUGUAGUACCAUUAUAAUUCUUCAAUUCUCGAUUUAUGACAAGUGGUUCGCGUCACGUAAGAUUGAGUAGGAAGGAAACAAGGGCAUAAGCCUCAAGGAAUCAAAUCGCUCGAUGAGGAAUCAAGAAGGGAAGUGCUCCUAACAGCCCUGUAGCCUCUCGAAGAUAAGUACAGACAUCUCUGUACCGAUCCGCAAGACUCUACUAGACUUGCCCAUGACUUGUGAGACCUAAGGGAACCUAGGGAUCUGAUACCAUGUUGUCACGACCCAAAAUCCACUAAGGGUCGUGAUGGCGCCGGACACCGCUGUCAGGCAAGCCAACCAAAAUACUUAAUUAAAUGCACGCUUUAAUAAUUUUGAAAAUAAUGAAUUUUCCUUCAGUUCUACUAGUAAAAGGUAAUCAAUUCAAAUUAAAUAUAAAUGUUAAGAAGUUAAUACAAGAUACCCCAUAAUCCUCCCAGAACCCGGUGUCACAAGUGCAUGAGCAAUUUCUAGGAAAUAAUAUAAUACAACAACCGUCCGGAAUACAAUAUUGGACAGAAAGUAAAUACAGUAAUCUGAAAGAGACUCUGCUGCUGCGGGUCGUCUCGAGAAGUGCAGCUCACCUAAGUCUCCGUACAACCAUGCUGCUACGCCCACUAGACCACUAGAGAUGCAUGUGUCUGUGCAACAAAAAUGCACAACAAGUGUAGUAUGAGUACGAAAACAACGUGUACCCAAUGAGUAUCCCGUCUAAUCUCGAAGAAGUAGAGACGAGAGGUCAACUUCGACACUUACUAGUGGUCCAAUAUUAAAAAUUGUAAAGAAGUGGGAGGAGAUCAUAAAUUUUAUAAAGCAAUUAUAAACUCAUAAAGCCGGAUAAUAGGUAAACAACUUCUCAAAUAAUAAUGGAUUCCUAAGAUUUACUUUUCAUCAUCUUUUAUCAAUUUAUUUCCGGCAAGGAAAGGCAAUAUCAACAUUUAUAAAUCUCAGGCAAACAAUACAAGCAUGUGCAUAUCAUGUCGAGGCCGUGCGGCCCGAUCCAACAUAAAUGUAAAAUGUGCACUGCCGAGGGUCGAACGACGCGAACCAUAGAUGCAUCUAUUACCCCGCUCGCGAAUCAUACAUGUGACGUAGUCAACAUAAAUAAACAGACACCCUGCUCGCGAAUCAUACAUGCGACGCAGUCAACAUAAUUAAACAGUCACACCGCUCGCGAAUCAUACAUGCGACGCAGGUACACAUAGAAAUACAUGCUCAAACAGUAAAUUAAGAAUUUAUCGGGGAACGUUUAUCCAAAUAAAAGCCAAUUCUCUUUUAGCGAUUUAAGAAAAUAAAGUUUAAUCUCUUUUAGAAAUUCAUUUACCAAUUCAAUAAGAUUUAAGCAACUCAACUGCCAACAAGAUUACAGAUAUUCCAAGUAUAGCAUGUUUUUGGGUCCUAGACUACCCGGACUUACACAUAAUAGUAGCUACACACGGACUCUCGUCACUUCGUGUGUACGUAGCCCCCACAAAUAGGAGAAUAUAACCAUUUAUUUCACCUAUGGGGACAAUUCCCUCUUACAAGGUUAGAAAGGAGACUCACCUCGCUCCGAAGCCUAUAUUCCAGUUCAAGAACGCGCUCAAACCUCCAAUUUGGAGCCGAACGAUCCAAACCUAUUCAAAUAGGGUAAUAACUAGUCAAUACAUGCCCAAAAGUUCAUAUUCUAAUUAUUAAACCAAUUUCCCAACCCUAAAUGCAAAGUUCCUAAAAUUCAUCCCCGGGACCACGUGCCCGGAUUCCGGAAUUUUUUGAAGAAAAUUGGUACCCAUAACUUAAGGAUCAAGAAUAUAUGAUUUUUCCUCUAUUCCCUAACACAUUUCGUGGUUAAAUCUUGUUUUUACCAAAUUCUAGAUUUUUCACCUUAAACCCUUGAUUUUCGCUAAUUUUCACAUGUUAAUCUACCCAGAAUCUUUGUAUUUAACUUAUGAUGUGUAGAAAUUAAUUACCUCUUUGAUGAUGAUGGAAUCCCUCCUCAAAUGCUCUCAAAAAUCGCCUAAGGCCAACUGGGAAAUGAAGGAAAUGGGCUAAGUCUCGGGAUAAAAAGCCCUGGGUCCCAAUCGCAGAUGUCGCAUUUGCGACAUUCGGCUCGCAAAUGCGAUGUUGCUUUUGUGACAAUUGCCUAGUAAAUGCGAAGCCUAGCCCACCCUGCCCUGGUCGCAUUUGCGACAAGAUUCUUCGCAAAUGCGAAGGUGACAGCCUUGCAAAAUCGAUCCUUCGUUCGCAAAUGCGAACUUUCCCCUAGAAGCCCAGGCUCGCAAAUGCGAACAGAAACUCUCAAAUGCGAGGUUGCAUUUGCGAUCAUACCAGUACCAGCAAUCCUAUUUCUUAGCAAAUCACUCCGAAGCUAUCCCGGAUCACACCCGAGCCCCCGAGGCUCCAAACCAAACACCCGCACAAGUCUAAAAACAUAACACGGACUUUCUUGUAGCCUCAAAUCACUUCAAACAAUGCUAAAACCAUGAAUCGCACUCCAAUUCAUGCUUAAUGAACUUUAAGAUCUCAACUUCUACUUCCAAUGUUUAAACUCGUCAAAUCACGUCCGAUUGAACUCAAAUUUUGCACACAAGCCAUAUUUAACAUUAUGGACCUACUCCAACUUCCGGAAUCAAAUUCCGACCUCAAUAUCAAAAAGUCCACUUCCGGUCAAACUUCUCAAAAACCUUCAAAUUUCUAUCUUUAGCCAGAUGAGCCCAAAAUGACCUACGGAUCUCCGAAUUCACUUCCGAUCGCGCUCCCAACACUAGAAUCACCAUACGGAGCUAUUUCCAGACUCGGAAUCCCAGACGGACAUUGAUAACACUGAAAUGCACUUCAACCCAAACUUAUGAAAUUCUUCCAAAAUGCUAACUUCCACAAUAGGUGCCGAAACAUUCCCGGUUCUUCCAAAACCAAGUCUGGACAUACGCCCAAGUCCGAAAUCAUUAUACGAACCUGCUGGAACCUUCAAAUCCCGAUUCCGAGGUUGAUUACUCAAAAACCCAAUCUUAGUCAAUUCUUUCAACUUAAGGUUUCUGAAAUGAGAAUUCUCUUUCCAAAUCAACUCCGAACUUACUGGAAUUCAGUUCCGACCAUGCGUACAAGUCAUAAUACCUGAAGUGAAGCUGCUCAUGGCCUCAAACUACGGAACAACGCGCUAGAGCUCAAAACGACCGGUCGGGUCGUUAGAACAUUUAAUUGUUUCAGUUUGCAUGUUGACCGACUUCUAGAAUAGGAAAAAAAAUCAAGAAAAAUCAAGAGUGAAGUCGGAGAGAAAAUUCAUCCGGUUCUAAAAAUUCUGAUAUUCAAAAUAUCCUGAAACUCUACCUAAAUUUUAAAAAAAGAAAGAAAGAAAGAAAAGAUCAAUUCAAAAUAAGUUGUCACGACCCAAAAUUUCAUUAAGGGUCGUGAUGGCGCUGGACACCACUGUCAUGCAAGCCAAUAUUAAAUUAAUUAAUUAAUCUCUCAUUUUAAUAUUUUUGAAACCAUAAAUUCCCUUUAUUUUAACUGGUAAAAAGUAAUCUUCACAAAAUAAAUAAUAGUGUUUAAAUUUUUUAUUACUGAAUAUCCCAUAAUCACCCCAGAACCCGGUGUCACAGGUGCAAUUGGACAUGAAUUAAAAUAAAAUACUACAUGAUAACUGUCCGGAAUACAAUUGGACAUAAAAGGAAAAACAAUACAGUACUAUGAAGGAGACUAUGUUGGCUGCAGGUCGCCUCGAGGAGUGCAGCUCACCUAAGUCUCCGUAUCGACCAUGCCGCUGCGCCAAACUAGGCCACUAGACAUACGUGAGCAUGUGCAACAAAAAUGCACAACAAGUGUAGCAUGAGUACAAAAACAACGUGUACCCAGUAAGUAUCCCGCCUAAUCUCGAAGAAGUAGAGACGAGAGGUUGACUUCGACACUUACUAGUGGUCCAAUAAUAUUAUACCAAUAAUAUAGUAAAUCGGGGAUAUUUAUGUAAACGGCUAUAACUUAAUCCCCGCUCGCGAAUCAUACAUGAGACGCGGUCAAAUAAAAUAAACACAUCAAAAAGUCAAUCAAGAAUUCAUCAAGGAGCAAUUAUUCAAGGGAGGGUAAAUUUCUCCUCUAAAAGUUAAGAAAAUGAUGUCUAGUCUUUUAGAAAUUUAUUUACAAAGUCCAAUAUGCUUUAAGCAUUUUAAAUUGACAACAAGAUUGCAAAUAUUACAAGUAAAGCAUGCUUUUGGUUCCUAGACCAAUUUGAUUUUUAUGACCUCGGAGUCCAGUCCCCAAGCCAAUUUGAGCCCUAUAAUCAAAGCUUCAUACUUCGCUUCAUUAUUAGUUAGAGGAACAGUUCUUAUGGCCUGCCUUAGGAUUUCUCUCGAGGUCGUGGUUAACACUAUGCCGAGUCCGUAACCUUUCACAUUCGAAGCUUCGUCCGUGAACAAGGUCCAAACUCCUGAUGUCGAUUCCGAUAUCAUUACUGGUUCUUUGGUAGCCAGAGGUAAAAGUCCCGAAUUGAAAUCGGCGACAAAGUCGACCAAAACCUAUGAAUUAAUUGCAUUCCUGGAUUUAAAGUCUAUGUCAAAUUCGCUCAUUUUGAUGGCCUAUUCGGCCAACCUUCUUGAGAGUUCAGGUUUAUGAAGAAUAUUCCGCAAGUAAAAAGUGGUCACAGCUAUCGGGUGACAUUGGAAAUAAGGCCUUAACUUUUGAGCUAUGACUACGAGGGCUAAGGCCAAUUUUCUGGAUGUGGGUAGUGAGUUUCUUCUCCCGUAAAAUUUUUACUUACAUAAUAAAUAGGAGAUUGCAUACCUUCAUCUUCGCGGACUAAAACGGCACUUACUGUUACCUCCGAAACUACUAAGUAGAUCAGUAGGUAUUCAUCUUUCUCCGAUUUUGACAGUAACGGAGGACUUGACAAAUAUUUUUUCAUAUCCUUCAAAGUCUAUAGACAUUCUUGUGUCCAUUAAAAGUUAUUCUUCUUUUUAAGGAGUGCAAGGAAAUGAUGGCAUUUUCUGAAGACCGGGAAAUAAAUCUGCUCAAAGCAGCCAGUCUCCCCGUUAGCCUUUGAAUCUCUUUCACGCUUGACAACAGGUUCAGGAUAUCUAUGAUGGCUUUAAUUUUAUCAGGGUUAACCCCAAUCCCCCUUUGAGACACGAAGAAACCCAGGAACUUACCGGAGCUGAGCUCGAAAGCACAUUUCUCGGAGUUAAGCUUCAUGUUGUGUUUUCUUAAGAUGUCAAAGGUCUGUUGCAGGUGUUUCAGAUGGUCACCUGGGUUCAAAGACUUAGCUAGCAUAUCAUCUAUGUAAACUUCCAUAGUUUUCCCUAUUUUCUUCUCAAACAUUUUGUUUGCGAGCCGUUGAUAAGUGGCCCUAGUGUUUUUCAGCCCAAAGGGCAUCACAUUGUAACAAUAUGCGCCGAAGUUCGUGAUGAAUGAAGCUUUUUUUCUGAUCCUCUGAAUUCAUCUUUAUUUGGUUGUACUCAGAGUAAGCAUCGAGGAAACUCAUUAACUCGUGCCCGGCCAUCACAUCGAUUAUUUUUUCAAUGCUUGGCAAUAGGAACGAGUCUUUUAGGCACGCCUUAUUUAAGUCCUUAUAGUUUACGCACAAGCAAAAUUUAUUAUUCUUCUUUGGAACUACUACUAGGUUAGCUAGCCUGUCAUGAUACUUUACCUAUCGGAUUGAACCGAUAUCAAGCAAGCGAGUUACCUCUUCCUUGACAAAUUUAUUCCUUACCGCGGCAAUAAGACGUUUUUUCUGUCUUUCCGGAGGGAUGUUGGGAUUCGGGCUUAGUUUGUGCACAACCACUUCCGGCGGAUACCUUUCUUAUCCUCAUGCGACUAUGAAAAAUAAUCAACAUUAAAUUUAAGAAAUUCAAUAAAUCCAGACCUGAGCUUGGGGUGCAGUCCUAUCCCCAAGUGGAACUUCCUCUCCAAGAAUUUUUUGAACAAUGCAACUUGUUCAAGUUCUUCCGCCGUGAAUUUUGUUGCACCCAUUUCUUCUGGUACCUGAAAUAUCUUGGUACCUGAUAAGAUUUCGACUGCGCCUCCCCCUAGUUGACUUCUCUAGACUCGGGAGAAUGCACCAGUUCCUGUAAUUUCUAUGUCGCAUUCUCCUUUCUUUUGCUACUGGAGGCUGAGAUUGCAUUCAUCUCCCUUGAUGUCGGUUAGUCACCUCUUAUUAGUUUAAUUCCCUUGGGAAUUGGGAAUUUCAGCAACUGAUGAUAUGUUGAUGGCACAGCCUUCAUCUCGUGCAAUCAUGGUCUCCCCAGGAUAAUAUUGUUACCCAUAUCACUGCCUACUACCUCGAAAUGGAUCAUCUUCGUCACCCAUUCAACAUUCAUGGGCAGUAGAAUCUCUCUUCGGUUUAUCACACUUGCUAGGUUGAACCUGGCGAGGAGUUUUGUGGCCGGAAUGACGCUUCCGGUGAGCUUGGCUUGCUUCACACCCUCUAUUGUAUGAUGUUGUCCAAACUUUCUAGGUCCACCAGAACACAUUUAAUUUUAAAAUCUAGGACAUUUAAAGAAAUUACCAACGCAUCGUUGUGCGAUAACAACAAUCCAUCCGCGUCUUCCUCCGUGAAAGUAAUAUCAUCUUCAACGACUUUUCGGAGUUUCUUGCUGUGGGUCACUGACACCUUCAUCUUUUUUGCUGACGAGAAUGUAACUCCGUUAAUCUUGUUCCCCCCGAAAAUCAUGUUGAUCAUCAAGCACGGGGGAUUUUCUCCUACUUUUGAAGGUUCUACAAUAUCACCAUUGUGACCGUAGUUGUUUUUAGUCUGAUCACUCAAAAAUUCUCUAAGAUGGUCGUUCUUCAACAAUGUCGCCACCUCCUCACGCAAAUAAUGACAGUCCCCCAUCCGGUGACAGUUGGUCCCAUGAUAUUCGCACCACAAAUUAAGAUUCCAUUGGUUUCGGGAACCACGCCUCUUUGAUAUUCCUCAUAGUUGACACCAGCUCAACUAUGCUGAUGUUAAAGUUGUACUCAAAAAGCUUGGAAUAUGAGGAAUCUUGAGAACCCGAUGUUUCUUUGUCCUGCAAUGACCUAUUGUUCAGGCCGCGAUCAGCUCUCCUAUCGAUGGUGAAUCUAUCUGCCAAUCGAAAACCUCUUCCACGUCCUUUGGCCCGGUUAUAGGGAAAAAACCGACAACUUGAAGGCUGUCGAUCUGUGUUAAAAUUUAUCUUUCGAUUUCUUUUUAUUCUUCUCUCGAUCCGACCCUCGGCGGAUGCCGGGAAAUCGAGCUGAUCAUCUUCAAUCAUUAUCAUUGAUUUAUACUGGUUAUGAACAUCUGCCCAAGUUAUUGUCUGGAACUCGAGCAAAUUUUCUUUCAACUUUCGGGAAGCGUCGGAACUUCUUAGAUUCAGACCUUUGGUGAAUGCUCCAGCUUCCCAUUCGUCCAGUAUGGCUGGUAGCAACAUUCUUUCCUUCUAAAAUCUUAUCACAAAUUCCCACAGUAACUCGGAUUCUCCUAUGCAAUCCUAAAUAUGUCGGCCUUUCACGCCUGUACCUUCCUGACCCCGACAUGGUCCUUGAUGAAGGAGUCCUAGAGCAUCUCAAAGGAGUCUAUGGAAUGCUCAGGCAAAAGUGAAUACAAUGUCAGUACUCCCUUCAUAAGGGUCUCCCUGAAUUUCUUCUAUAAGACUGACUCAAUGUCGUGCGGUGCCAAAUCGUUUUCUUUCCCCGCCGUUGUAUAUGUGGUGAUAUGUUCCUGAGGAUCUGAAGUCUCAUCAUACUUCGAGACGUCUGGACUUUUAAACCGAUUCAGGAUCAAUUUUGGUGUCGCACUUGGUUUGAACGAUAAUUGUGUGUACUUCUUUGAGUCCUGACCUUUCAGCACUGGUGGUGCACCCGAAAUUUGAUCUAUUCGGCGUUUAUCUCCCUCAUGAAUAGUAUGAGUUCAGUUUUAAAAGGAUCAUUCUCGUUGUUGUUAUUGAAUCCGCCACCGUUCCCCACGAUCCCAUCAAAACCGACCUCGCCUCUCGGGGUGUUGUUGUCUACCCUCUGUGUUGUUUGAUUUGUGGGAGUACUGGGAGGAACUGGACCUCAUCCAUUUUCAUUGUUGGAAACACCCGACAAUGUCUGCUUCAGCUCCAUAAUGACCUGAUCCUACCGUGUGAGAUGGCCUAUAUUGGCCUCUUGUUCCUCCUUCAAGAUCCUUACUAUUUCGACGAUGUACUCAUCUUCAGCAUCAUCAGGAGUUGCCCCUCGAACAUGCCGCGGAUAUCGUCCACCGUGAUCGCCAUGGCCUCAUCCCUUUCGUUACGGGUAUCACUGAUUGAAUCCUCGUUCUGAGGCUAAUUUUCUUGGGCCUCAACAUUUUGUGAGAUUUUAACACCGUUAUCAGCCAUUUUCUAUGAUUUUUUUUUGCUAAGAACAAAUAAUUAAACGAUUUAGUAAUAGAUAUAAGGAUCAACUCAAUUACACAACUAAUGUUUUAAACAUCAAUACCACACAAGAGGGGGGUGAUUUGUGUGGUACCCAAUUUUCGCUUAACUGAACUAUAGAAGAACCUGGUUCUUCUAUGUGUUCCAACUACUACUAUUUGUGGAAUAAUAAAUAAAGAAAAUAAAGAACACAGAGAUUUUUAUGUGGAAAACACCUGGCUCAAAAGGUGAAAAAACCACGACCUACUACUCAGUAGGAUUUUCCCAAACUUCCACUAAAAUCACUGAGCCAAAACAGCAUUUACAAAACUCUUUGUAAACCUAAGGAUUAACUCUAAUCCCGUUAUGGCACACAGCCUCAACUGUUGCGAUAACUUCAAGUUAACUCUAACUUGAACAAUCUAGGUACCUAAUACAAUUGCUUCUAUGAAAGCUGAAAGGUACAAUGUAAAAUCAACUACUACAAUUGAACUAGAAUAAAAGAUAGACACAUGGAGCUGGUUCUUCUAUCUCGUUCAAGUAGCUUCAGGAUUGCACGCUCGAAUCACACAUAAAUUGCUUGCAAAAUCAUCUUGCUCUUUUGCUCUCAAUUUAAGUUUAACUUCUGCUUAUGUGCAUUACCUGUAAAAGAGAAUAACACUGAUAUUUAAUGGUUUAGUAAUUAUAGAUUGACUGGGAUUCAAAUGCUACUCUUCUAUCGUAGAAGAGUUUAAGGUGAUCUCAAACUCUAACACUAUCUUCUUCCUAUAUUGUGUUCUCUUCAUGUAAUGAGUCUUUCUCUCAUUAUCUAAUAUGCAGCUUUUUCAAUCAGAUCAGGAGAUAUUAUUUCUCGAUCAGUUAGAUUUAUCUCCUUCACGUGCAUUUCACAUGCACAGGUUGAUCAUGAUUGUGCUUCACAAGAUAUACCUAGUCCAUGUCUAAGUUCUUUUGUCAAUCUUCAAAACUUCACCUGUUCUUGGGACAACAAAUUCCCCCUUUUUGAUGAUGACAAACUUUGUGCUUUUUACUUACUUGGAUCUUGUAAGAACUCAGCUUAACCAUCAAUACAAAGAUGAGAAAAUUCACUUAUCAUCAAGGACCAGGUUAAUUAGGUUAUAAACAUCACUUAUUCAGAAUGUGUAAAGAACAAUAUCUUUUCCCCCUUUUGGCAUCAUUGAAAAGUUGCAUACAAAGUGUGAGUCCCAGAUUUUAAUAAGUACUCAUGGCCACUGAGGCAACUGCAAGUGCAAUCAUGGUUUAAUCAUCAGUAAUCAAGCAAAUAUAUUUAAACUAUCAAGGAAAGAUUAACAUUGAACAAGAGCAAAAACAGUAGAUAUCAUAGAUAGAGGAAAUGUUGCUACCGCAAUCCACAACCAGAAAGCAAAACACAUUUAAAAUAUGAGCAAAAAAAAGAUAGAAAAAUCCCUAAUCCGAGUCACUGAAGGUACUAGACAGGUUCAGGAGACAAAGGCUAGAAUUCUUAAGGCUUGGGGGAGCUAGAGGGUUGGUUUUGGGCUUGGAGAAGAUUCAACAUAUUGUGAAGAAUUCCAUCAUUAUUCUCCUUUUCCUUUGUAAGCUCAAUUUUGAUAGCAUCCCUCUCAGAUUCCACCUCUGCCACACGAGCCUUGAGCCUAGCUAUCUCAGUAUCCUUAGCUUCACAUUCCUAAAUAAGAGCCCCGACUUUACUGUUGAUAGGAGUCUUCUUGGAUGAAUCAGGUUCAUUUGGGAUGGCACUGACUAAAUAGUCACAAGCAAUCAGAGUGUAAAUGCCAAAGUGAUCCUUGCUUGAGGCCAUUUCCCAUUUCUUCAGAGGCACAUUGCACCUAUCCAGAAUCGUAGUCAGAAUAAAGCCAUAGGGGGUAGCAUGAGCCUUGGAGCCAUUGAUGACCCUGUCCAGCAGCUUGAUGAUGAAUGCAGGCCAAUUAUUUUACCUUCCACUUUCCAGACACUCCAUAAGAACUAGGUCCAUAUAGUUUGUAAUAUGCCUUCUCUUUCUUCUUACUCUCAGCUGGAGCCUUUUGGAAAUCACUCUCACUCUGUUUCACCCUACUUCUUGUAGCUCUUCUCUUUGGCAAUGAAAUUUCAGUAGUUAUUGGGGAUGAAGCCUUUCUUUUCUUGGAGGUUUAGGAGUACUGGGGGCUUUUGGUGUGGGAGUUCUUCGCUUCUUUGGAUCAUAACUUGCCCCAACCUUUUUCAACAGGUCUGCUAGGGUCUCUUCAGUAGAUGAACCAGGUUCAUCUCCUUGUGUGCUUAGAUUAACUAACCAUUCAUCAGCUUCACCAGAACCACUUCCCCCUGACUUCUUGCCACUCUCUUCUACAUUUUCUUGUUCAACCCCACAGAUAGCAGGCACAAACAAAUCAGUAGUAGUGGGUGGAUGAUCAACCACUCUUUUCACAUUUCCCCUCUCUUCACCACAUGCACCCUCUCUCUCUUUUUCUUUUUUAGAUUUCUUUUUACCUCCACUCCUUCGUAACUCAGGUAAUUAUACAUCCCUGAUAGGCCCAACCAGAACAAACCUAGCUUCUAAAUUUUCAGUCAACAAAGAACUUACCUUAGAAGGGGAUUCUUGAAUCUUCUCAGAGUCAGAAGACCCAGGUCCUUCCCCCUCACUAGCAGAUUUGUAUGACUCAGAAUCGGAGUUGGAUUCAGAGUCUUGGACCUGGAUUGCCUUUAAUUUCUUUGAGAGAGCCUCAGACGCUAUUGUUUUCCGAGCAAGCAUUUUUACCCUUCUCAGCCUGGAUUUGGGAGAUGUACUAGGUGAAGGAGGGGUAGAUAAAUUAGAGGGAGUGGGUGGUGGAGGAGUUCCAGGAUUGUAUUGUAGGUUUGUCAUGAUUGUUGGUUUCUUGAGAUAAUUGGUGAGUUAGAAUUUUGGAGAAGAAAGCAAGUGAAAGUGAAGAGGGAUUUUUGACGGUUUAGAAUUAUGGAGAUGGCAGGAGGUAAUGAUGUGUAUUUAAAGAGAAAUACACAUUUAAUGUAUAACGACAGCUUUAGCAGUGGUCAAUUAGAGGUCUAAUCAACCUGAAAUUUUAGGUUUGAAUGAACGGUUAGGCUUCCCUAGAUUUUAGGCAAUUUUUGUGUUUUAGAGUUCUAAGGCUGACGAAAUUGGUUCAAAACUAACGGAUAGAAUUUUCUAAGGAGUUGAACAAUUGUAGGACUUCUGCUAAUGAUUUAAAUAUUUAUAUUUCUAAUUGUGCAGAGUAUAGAAAACAUACCUUAGCUUUCAGAUGAACCCAUAUUGAUGAACCAGGUUCUUCAUUUAGAAUUCUUUUGAUCAUGCCUCAAUUUACCAUAAUAGAGAAAAAUUUAUAAAAGAUCAGUGAGUCAUAUUAACAUAUGUCACAAGAGUAUACUAAUUACAGUAUGAAGCUGAGUAAAAAUUAAUCUAGAUAUUUACACAAGUUCAGAUUUCCUAGCCAAUUUUUUUUUCAUAUUUUUCGUUGUGCAUUUUGAGAUGGUCCUAUUAGGUGAUCUUAAUCAUCCCUAAUUCCAACCUGUUCCUCUCAAAGUUUUCUCUACUCAGUGCUUUAGUGAAGAUGUCAGCAAUUUAUUUAUCAGUAGCACAGAAUUCUAUGGAGAUCAAUCAUUUCUCAUAAUUGUCUCUUAAGAAGUGGUGUCUAACAUCUAUGUGCUUAGUCCUCUUAUGGUGAACAUGGUUCUUUGUCAUACUUAUAGCACUAGUGUUAUCACAGAAGAUAGGAAUGCAACCAACUUCAAUGACAAAAUCUAUCAGCUGUUGUUUGAUCCACAACAAUUCAGCACAACAAGAGACAACAACAACAUAUUCAGCCUCAGUAGUGGAUAAGGCCACUGAAUUUUGCUUUUUAGUGGCCCAUGAUACAAGACAUGAACCAAGAAAACGAGCCAUACCUGAGGUGCUCUACCUAUCUACAAGAAAACCUGCAUAAUCAGCAUCAGCAUACCCUACUAGAUUAAAAUUACUACCUUUAGGGUACCAAAGACACAGAUCAGUAGUGCCUUNNNNNNNNNNNNNNNNNNNNNNNNNNNNNNNNNNNNNNNNNNNNNNNNNNNNNNNNNNNNNNNNNNNNNNNNNNNNNNNNNNNNNNNNNNNNNNNNNNNNNNNNNNNNNNNNNNNNNNNNNNNNNNNNNNNNNNNNNNNNNNNNNNNNNNNNNNNNNNNNNNNNNNNNNNNNNNNNNNNNNNNNNNNNNNNNNNNNNNNNNNNNNNNNNNNNNNNNNNNNNNNNNNNNNNNNNNNNNNNNNNNNNNNNNNNNNNNNNNNNNNNNNNNNNNNNNNNNNNNNNNNNNNNNNNNNNNNNNNNNNNNNNNNNNNNNNNNNNNNNNNNNNNNNNNNNNNNNNNNNNNNNNNNNNNNNNNNNNNNNNNNNNNNNNNNNNNNNNNNNNNNNNNNNNNNNNNNNNNNNNNNNNNNNNNNNNNNNNNNNNNNNNNNNNNNNNNNNNNNNNNNNNNNNNNNNNNNNNNNNNNNNNNNNNNNNNNNNNNNNNNNNNNNNNNNNNNNNNNNNNNNNNNNNNNNNNNNNNNNNNNNNNNNNNNNNNNNNNNNNNNNNNNNNNNNNNNNNNNNNNNNNNNNNNNNNNNNNNNNNNNNNNNNNNNNNNNNNNNNNNNNNNNNNNNNNNNNNNNNNNNNNNNNNNNNNNNNNNNNNNNNNNNNNNNNNNNNNNNNNNNNNNNNNNNNNNNNNNNNNNNNNNNNNNNNNNNNNNNNNNNNNNNNNNNNNUCUUGCUUUUAAAGGAUGAUCUUACCUGCUUCCCCUUGCACAGGCCUCACAAACUUUGUCUUCACACAGUUGUGAUACACUGAUUAGGCUAUAUUUCAAGCCAUCUAUCAAGUAGACAUUCUCAAUGGAGUGCGAGUCUGUCUUACCUACCUUUCUAACCCCAAUAAUCUCACCUUUCUUCCCAUUUCCAAAGGAGACAUUACCUCCUUUUAAGUCCUCAAGUGAAAGGAACUGGUUCUUGCUUCCAGUCAUAUAUUUUGAGCAGCCACUAUCCAUGUACCAUAUUUGGCUACUUCCCUUCACUUGGACCUGCAAAAAAAAUCAGGGGUUAGUCUUAGGAACCCAAACUAGUUUGGGUCCCUUUCUCUAGGCAAAGGGGUAAAUUAAAUUCCUUUUAGCCCACCCAGCCAGCCUAUUUUUCUCUUGAACAAAUGUUUUGUUCUUUUGACUAGCCUUUUCUUUUGCAUUGCAUUCAUUUUUGUAAUGACCAGUCUUACCACAGUGUAUGCAGAUUUUAUUUUCAGGAAGAGUGAGGUAUUUGCUUUUGGGGUCCCACUUAGGUUCUUGUGCCCCAUAGCCAAGUCCUCUUUUGUUGCUACUGUGAUAUUUUUGUAGCCAGGAUAGUGCAUCAGAGGCCUUAUUCCAUUUGCAAGUUCUGUCUAGUUCAUGUUUUACCUUCCCUAGGUCUUCUUUUAAGACUCUUAUCUGCUCAUCUUUCCUGUACAACUCAUCCUUCAUUUUUCCUAGGUUUUCUUCAAAGGUGAAAUGUGUGUGAUCAAUUUUCUUCUUACCUGUUCCUAAUUUCAGUUUUAAAUUUUCAGACCUAAGUUCUAGGACACUAGUGUCAAGUUCAAGAACCUGGUUCUUCAACUCAGCAUUUUUACUGUCACUCUCAUUAGCCCUAGAUUCUAGAUUUUUGCACUUGCCUUUUAAGAUCACACACUCCCUAGACAGCUCUUCCUUCUCAUUGUUAAUUAUCUCAGACUCAUUGAUGAAGUCCAGCAAUAGUUCAGACAACCUUUCUUAAGACAGAAAUUUAAUCUUGUCGUUGAGAUGAAACACACUUACCUCUUGUUCAUUAUCUGAAUCUCCGAUGGCCAUAAAUGCUUGUUCAUCUCCAGCUUCGUCUUCUAAAUCAUCAUCUGAUGUUUCUCCCCAAGUAGCAAUCAUAGCCUUUGUUGAGCCUUUGUUCCUUUUGGGUUGAACUUGUUCCUUCUUCCUGUUCCUACGUUCAGCCCUUUCCUUCUUCCAUUCAAUUUCCUACUGAGGACAGUUCUUGAUCAUGUGAUCAGUCUUGCUACAUUUGUAGCAACCUUCAUUGGUCUUUUUCUCAUGAGCCUUUGGUUUGUUGAAGGUUGUACCUCUUGAAGAACUCUUUCCUCUUAUUAAGUACUUUUUGAAAUCCCUUGUGAUCAUGGCCAUUUCACCAUCCUCCAUAUCUGCACCUUCAACUAUUCUGAAAGCCAGACUCCUUUCUUUCUUGGGUGCAUCCAUUUUCAUGGUUUGCCUUCUCAGUUCAUAGGCAGUGAGGUUUCCAAUCAGUUCAUCCAACUUGAGAGUAGCAAUGUUCUUUGAUUCAUGAAUAACAGUGAUUUUGCUUUCCCAAGUCACUGGUAAGACCCUUGUCAAGAUUUUCUCAACCUUGUCUAAUUCAAGGAUAAUUCCCUCAAGAGAUUUAAGUUCAUUUGUUAGUAUUGUGAACCUUGUGUACAUCUCAUGGAUAGUUUCUCCUUCCUUCAUAGUGAAAUUCUCAUAUUGAGAAUGUAGCAGUGUUCCUCUUGAUAUCUUUACUUGAGGAGUUCCUUCAUGAGCCACUUGUAAAGUGUCCCAUAUCUUCUUAGCAGUGGUACAACUUUGAAUCUUGCUGUACCCGUCUGGACUCAGUCCACACACAAGUCAUUUCUUGGCCUUGGCAUUCUUUUCCCAUUUCUUCAAUUCUUUAGCAGUGCAGUCAGCUCUUGUCUUUGGCACGUCCACUCCUUCAGUAUUCUUCUUUGUAGUCGCCAGGGGACCAUCAGUGAUUAUGUCCCAGAGUUCAUAGUCUUCUCCUAUGGUAUGAUCUCUUAUCUUGUUCUUCCACCAAGAAUAGUACUGACCAUUAAAGAGUGGAGGCCUAGCAGUGGAUUGACCUUCCCAGUUUCCAGGUGGUNNNNNNNNNNNNNNNNNNNNNNNNNNNNNNNNNNNNNNNNNNNNNNNNNNNNNNNNNNNNNNNNNNNNNNNNNNNNNNNNNNNNNNNNNNNNNNNNNNNNNNNNNNNNNNNNNNNNNNNNNNNNNNNNNNNNNNNNNNNNNNNNNNNNNNNNNNNNNNNNNNNNNNNNNNNNNNNNNNNNNNNNNNNNNNNNNNNNNNNNNNNNNNNNNNNNNNNNNNNNNNNNNNNNNNNNNNNNNNNNNNNNNNNNNNNNNNNNNNNNNNNNNNNNNNNNNNNNNNNNNNNNNNNNNNNNNNNNNNNNNNNNNNNNNNNNNNNNNNNNNNNNNNNNNNNNNNNNNNNNNNNNNNNNNNNNNNNNNNNNNNNNNNNNNNNNNNNNNNNNNNNNNNNNNNNNNNNNNNNNNNNNNNNNNNNNNNNNNNNNNNNNNNNNNNNNNNNNNNNNNNNNNNNNNNNNNNNNNNNNNNNNNNNNNNNNNNNNNNNNNNNNNNNNNNNNNNNNNNNNNNNNNNNNNNNNNNNNNNNNNNNNNNNNNNNNNNNNNNNNNNNNNNNNNNNNNNNNNNNNNNNNNNNNNNNNNNNNNNNNNNNNNNNNNNNNNNNNNNNNNNNNNNNNNNNNNNNNNNNNNNNNNNNNNNNNNNNNNNNNNNNNNNNNNNNNNNNNNNNNNNNNNNNNNNNNNNNNNNNNNNNNNNNNNNNNNNNNNNNNNNNNNNNNNNNNNNNNNNNNNNNNNNNNNNNNNNNNNNNNNNNNNNNNNNNNNNNNNNNNNNNNNNNNNNNNNNNNNNNNNNNNNNNNNNNNNNNNNNNNNNNNNNNNNNNNNNNNNNNNNNNNNNNNNNNNNNNNNNNNNNNNNNNNNNNNNNNNNNNNNNNNNNNNNNNNNNNNNNNNNNNNNNNNNNNNNNNNNNNNNNNNNNNNNNNNNNNNNNNNNNNNNNNNNNNNNNNNNNNNNNNNNNNNNNNNNNNNNNNNNNNNNNNNNNNNNNNNNNCAAAUGCUACUCUUCUAUCGUAGAAGAGUUCAAGGUGAUCUCAAACUCUAACACUAUUUUCUUCCUAUACUGUGUUCUCCUCAUGUAAGGAGUCUUUCUCUCCUUAUCCAAUAUGCAACCUUUUAGAUCAGAUCAGGAGAUAUUACUUCUCGAUCAGUUAGAUUUAUCUCCUUCACGUGCAUCUCACAUGCACAGGUUGAUCAUGACUGUGCUUCACAAGAUGGACCUGGUCCAUAUCUGAGUUCUUUUGUCAAUCUUCAAAACUUCACCUGUUCUUGGGCCAACAACAACUGUCUAAGCCCCACGGUGGACGCCAAACUGUUUACCCCGUAAAAUGGUACAGUUGAAUUUAUACGUGGUUUAUGGACAAAUAAAUCGAUUUGAUCCAAAAAUAAUAGAUGGAUUAGAUCAAAAAAAAAUGUAAAACUUAGCCUUGAAAUUGAAAUAAAACGACAGAUAUCUUAGUCCCGAGCGCAGAGCUUCCGGAGGCAGUAAGGACAAUAUAAAUAAGCAGAAAAGUAAAAUGUUAUUGAGUUUUUGAUAGAAUAUAGCAUAUGCUUGUCAGAAAAUUAUUUCCUUUACAAUGAUGGUAGAGCUCACUAUUUAUGAUUACACCUAGGGAACAAGGUCCUAGGGAUCAAACCCUUCUUAAAUGACAAUAUAGUGUUUGCUUUCUCAUGCGAUUAUUAAAUAUGAACAUAUUUUAUCCCAUACACUAACAUAACUUGGUAUAAAAACACAUAGUAUAUUAUAUUUGGAUAUGCAUUUAACUUGAAAAAAACUUAAAAAUUUUAUGAGCAGAAGAAAAUUUUCACUUUGAAAAACUCGUCUUGAAAAGCUAACUAAAAGAUCAGUCUAAUCUAUAAUCAAACGUUGUUAUAGUCCGUUUAUCCAUAGAAAUAUUUUUUUUAAUAAAAUAAGUUUCAAAUUAUGUUAUUUGGUUAUACAUUAAAAUAAUUUGUUGAAGAUGAGUUUGAAGUUUUAAAAAGUAAUUUUUACCACAUUUUAUUUACUACUUUUUCAAGUAGAUAAUCUUUUUCUCCCAAAAAACUACAACAUUUUUUAAGUGAAAUAUAUAUAUAUAUAUAUAUAUAUAUAUAUAUAUAUAUAUNNNNNNNNNNNNNNNNNNNNNNNNNAAUUUUUUUUCCAGUUUAUUUUCAAUUUGAUUGAAUUAAAUUUGUAGCAAAAUAGUGCAGGUCACAUGGAACGUGUAAGACAUGCUGAAUCUGUUGAUACUAAUAAGUUUGUGUUUUUUUUUUGCUACUCUAGUAAAUAUUGCACUCGAAUUUCAACCCUUAUUCAGAUUUUCACGUCUUAUUUCUGCAGGAUUUAUUCAACAGGGUCAUAAAAUUUUGCUUAAUCCUACGUGAACUUCUUUUCCUCCCUACCAGUAAGUUAAGAUCUAACUUAACACAUUGUUCAGAUAAUCAGAUUUACAAAACAAGGAGAUAUUUACAAUUCCAAACCAAAACACACAGACAUACAAAACUAGCAAAAUGAUACUUAAAGCCAUUUGUUUUUUAAUUACCCUUGCCUCCUUGCCUUUAAUUCUUGAAUUGCAUUGAACAACUUCCUUCGACUUCCAACUGCAGAAAUUCCCAUUUCUUUGAGAUCAUUAAAUGUAAGCAAUGGCAGAGUUUCAUUAUCCACUUCAUGCUUUUCAAACAAUAAACCAUACUUCUUAAAUCCAAACUCUUCAAGCCAUUUCUUAACACUAUUUACAUUGCUAUUAUAGCCUUUUGUUUUAUCAAUGACCACUUCUUGUUUUGACCCUUUUCUUGGCUUCUUGCUUAAGGAACCAACUUUGGUUUUACAUGUACUCUUCUUUUGCCUUUUCAUGACCCUAGACUUCUUAAAUUUGGUUCCAAGACAUAAUAUUGCAUUGUUAAUAUUGUCACAACUAGCCAAAUCAGAAACUGAUUUUGACAUUUGUUGACUGUUGUCUGAAUCUUUACAUUGUAGGAAUUGAGCUUUCCACCUCUGAUUACCAAAAUUUCUCUUAUUCAUAUUGGAAAUGCCGCAUGCAGCCGGGAUAUCACCAACUUCACUCAAUCUAACAUUUCGUCUCCUUUGCCUCUUACACUUCAUGCUGAUUACAGGCGUAACAAGUUAGUAAAAGCAACCCACUGAACAACCAACAGAGCAUUUAAAAAAAAGGACUUGGGCAGGACAUAGGCAAGAGGGAGAUUACAUUUAAAAAACUGGUUAAUUUCAUGCAGAAACUUACAGAAGCAGUUAUAUAUUCUAAGUAAAUUAAGCUGUUAUAUUAUAUGAAGAGAUAAAACAAGCGGCGUUGGGCUAAGCAAAUUUUAGACAAGUGGAAAGGUGAAAAUCUUAGUUAAAGACUUUCCAUGAGUAUACUUUGCAAGAACAAUAGAUGAUGGAGUGACAAGUGGAUGAAACAUCUUUAAGUUGGUGUAUGUGUGUGUUAAAACCAGGGGCAUUACUUUGACAGAUUUUUCAGACGUGUGGCAAGGUUAAAUUUAGUUUUUAGCAUUACAUGCGGUAAUUUUUAGUUACUGAUAAUUAGCCAUAAUAAAUAAAUACUUUAAUUUAUCAGAUAGAUUGUUUAUAUUAAAUAAAAUUAGUUAUCUGAACAAUAGGACUGUCUCGACCCGAAUUUCCCACCUUCGGAGCUGUGAUGGCGCCUAACAUUGAACUCGCUAGGCAAGCCAACGUCACAGAUUACUACACCUUUUCCUUUAUCUAUUAUUAAUUAAAAACUUAACAAAAUUAAAUCAGCGGAAAUAAAUGCAGAAGAUCACAGCAAAAUCCGAAAUAAAAUACACCUAGAAUUGGAGUCACAACUCACGAACUGUCUACGAUUACUACAAGUAAUGGUCUGAAAGAAAAAUAUACAUCUGUUUCGGAGGAAAAGUAAAAACAAGAUACAGUAAAGAUAGAAGGGGACGCCAGGGCCUGCAGACGCCUGCAUGACUACCUUGGGUCUCCUGUGAACUGAAGGCAGCACCCUCAAACUCUGAUCAGCCACUAGCUCUGAAAUUUGCACAAGAAGUGCAGAGUGCGGUAUCAGUACAACCGACCCCAUGUACUGGUAAGUGCCGAGCCUAACCUCAACGAAGUAGUGACGAGACUACGGCGAGGCAUACAACAUAUACAACCUACAACAAUUUAUAUUAAACAGAAAGGAAAUACAAAAUAUAAUGAAGCAAUAACUAGCAUUAAAGAAAUCCGGAACCCAAUUGUUCUACUAGUAUUCAGUUAUAACCAAUCCUUAGGGGUGUUUCAACAGCACAAUAAUAGACCUCAACAGACAUGAACACUUAACGACAACUGAUGCGGCGCACAUCCCGAUCUCAUCACAUAACAACAACAGAAUCAAUAUUCACCCUUAUUCCUCCUUGUUGCGGCGUGCAAUCCGAUCCCACUUGUCCACCCUUAUUACUCCUCAACACAUAUCACCCUUAUUCCUCCUGUUGUGGUGUGCAACCCGAUCCCACAUGUUCACCCUUAUUACUCCUUGUUACGGCGUGAAACCCGAUCCCACCAGACCAUCAUAUUUUUACCCUUAUUUCUCCUGUUGCGGCGUGCAACCCGAUCCCAAUAUAUAGCAGCACCAAUCACAAAUGAAUAAAAACACGUGUUUCACAAGUAAAUUCAAUUUCCCCAAUGUACUUAUACCGCAAUCCACACAAUGGAAUAUUACUACGAUUAAGAAACUUCACCGUUGUAAACUACCCAAUAAGACCAACCAAGGUGUGCCAUAAGGCACCAACAAGCCAAUAUAAGCCAACAAUGUAAGAAAACGAAACCAUGAAACAAUUAAAUACUUCAAUAAAGAGAACACCAGUUAAUAUGAAGCGAUUAGGCAUGGAACAUAUAUGAGCAAGUAGCAAUUAAGACAUGGAAGCAAUUUUGAGUAAAUAGCAAUUAAGGCAAGAAUAGUAUAAUAGGAAACGGGGAAGGGAACAAGAUAAAAAUGGAAAUUUUGGUGGCGCAUAGGUACUCGUCACCACACCUAUACGCUACACACAUGGAAAUUUCACAUAGAGAAUAAGUCGGGGAUUCCUAUUUCCUCAAGUCAAAGUUAGACCAAACACGUACCUCAAGCCAAAAGGUAAUUCAACACUCAAUCACCGCUUUACCUCUUGAUUCCACCAUCAAUUCACUCGUAUCUAGCCAUAAUCAAUUUUAUAACAUCAAUAAAUGCUAAACAACUCAACUCCAAUGCAUAACUAUUGGUUUUAUAACAUUUUCCCCAAAAAAUCAAAACCCGACCCCGGGCCUUCUUGGUCCAAACUUGAAAUUCGGACCAAACCCCAAUUACCCAUUCACCUCCCGAGCCCAAAUAUACAAUUGGUUUUGGAAUCCGACCUCAAUUUGAGGUCUAAUUCCCCAAAAUUCAAAAAUUCUAAUUUCUACCUAAGAAUACUCAAUUUCCCAUAAAAACCCUAGANNNNNNNNNNNNNNNNNNNNNNNNNAAUCAUGUAAAAAGAUGAAAUAGAUUGAAGAAAAAGAGUUAAGACUCAUUUACCUAUGGUUUGGGGAAGAACUUGCUCUAGAAAAAUCGCCCUUAGGAGUUUAGGUUUUGAAAUUUUGAAAGAAUGAAGUUAAAAUCCCGUCUAAAAUCUCACUUAACAGGUUGCAUAUAUCGCAAUUGCGAUCAGGGGUUCACAAUUGCGAACCCUUGAAUUUACUGCUGCCUUCGCAUUUGCGACCUCUGGGGCCUUCACAAUUCUGGCCAAAGUUUCGCAUUUGCGAGGUUGGCCUUUCCAGUAAUUCUUCGCAUUUGCGACAAUAUUGUCGCAUUUCCCAGGCCAACAGACUUCGCAUUUGAAAAGCCUGAUCUCACAUUUGCGAUAUCAGAGGCUUGUGCAAAACACCAGAUGUAUCAGCUGAGUCUUCUUAAGUUCUAUUCACUCUGUGGCCUAUCCAAAACUCACCCGAGCCCUCGGGGCUCUAAACCAAACAUUCACACAAGUCUAAAAACAUCAUACGGACUUGCUCGUGCGAUCAAAUCAUUAAAAUAACAUCAACAACUACGAAUUUAACCUCAAACUCAUGAUUUUCCUCAAGAACACUUCAAAUUUACUAUUUUCACAACCGGACGUCCGAAUCAGGUCAAAUCCACUCCGAUUCCUACCAAAUUUCAUAGAUAGGGUCUAAAUAUCAUAACGGACCUGUACCGGGCUCCGGAACCAAGAUACGGGCCUGAUACCAACAAGAUCAAAUCUAUUUAGAUUUCCAAAAACUAUUACAUUUUCAGUUAAAUAAUUUUCUUUAAAAAUUCUUUUCUCGGGUUAGGGACCUCGGAAUUCGAUUCUGGGCAUACGUCCAAGUCCCAUAUUUUACUACGGACCCUCUGGGACCGUCAAAACAUGGGUCCGGAUCCGUUUACCAAAAAUAUUGACCGGAGUCAAUUAAAAUCAUCUUUGUAAGAUAAAAUAUCAUUAUUUCUCAAAUUGUUUUUACAAAAGCUUUCCGGUAUUGCACCUAGACUGCACAUGCAAAUCGAGGAGAGAUAAAAUGAGGUUUUUAAGGCCUUGGAAUACAGAUUUGACUUCUAAAACAAGAGAUGACCUUUUGGGUCAUCACAUUCUCCACCUCUAAAACAACCGUUCGUCCUCGAACGGACAUAGAAAAGUACCUGAGUUGGUGAAAAAAUGGGGAUAACGGCUCCGCAUAUCGGACUCAGACUCCCAAGUAGCUGCCUCAACAGACUGAACUCCCCAAUGCACAUGAACCGAAGGAUAACUCUUCGAUCUCAACUGACGAACCUGUCGGUCUAAAAUGGCUACCAGCUCCUCCUCGUAGGUCAAAUCCUUGUCCAACUGUACAAUACUGAAGUCUAACAUGUGGGAUGGAUCGUCGCGAUACUUUCGAAGCAUGGACAUGAAAUACUAGAUGCACUGCCAAUAAACCUGGUGGCAUCGCAAGCUCGUUAGCCACCUCUCCCACUCUUUGAAGGAUCUCAAAAGGCGCAAUGAACCUAGGGAUUAACUUGCCCUUCUUCCCAAAUAUCAUCACGCCCUUCAUGGGCGACACCCAAAGCAACACUCGCUCUCUGACCAUGAAUGUCACAUCACGAACCUUGCGGUCGGAAUAACUCUUUUGCCUGGACUGAAUUGUAUGAAGUCUAUCCUGAAUAAUCUUAGCCUUAUCCAAGGCAUCCUGUACCAAAUCCGUACCCAACAACCGAGCCUCCCCAGGCUCAAACUACCCAACCGGCCAUAUAAUGCCUCAUAAAGAGCCAUCUGGAUGCUCGACUGAUAACUGUUGUUGUAGGCAAACUCUGCUAAUGGCAAGAACUGAUCCCAAGAACCUCCAAAAUCAAUAACAUAUGCUCGGAGCAUAUUCUCCAAAAUCUAAAUAUUACACUCGGACUGUCCGUCCGUGUGAGGAUGAAAUAUUAUGCUCAACUCGACCCGCGUACCCAACUCACGUUGUACUGCUCUCCAGAAAUGCGAGGUAAACCGCAUACCCUGAUUAGAAAUGAUAGACACGGACAUACCAUGAAGACGAACAAUCUCUCGGAUGUAGAUAUCAACUAACCGCUCUGAAGAAUAGAAAACCGCCACAAGAAUGAAAUGCACUGACUUAGUCAAACUAUCCACAAUAACCCAUACUACAUCGAACUUCCUCUGAGUCCGUGGGAGCCCAACAAUGAAAUCCAUAGUGAUACGCUCCCAUUUCCACUCAGGAAUCUCAAUCUUCUAAAGCAAACCACCAGGUCUUUGAUGCUCGUACUUUACCUACUGACAAUUCAAACACUAAGCUACAUAUGCAACAAUAUCCUUCUUCAUCCUCCUCCACUAAUAGUGCUGCCGCAAAAUUCGAAUACAUCUUAGCGGCGCCCGAGUAAAUAGAAUACCGGGAAUUAUGGGCCUCCUCUAAAAUCAACUAACGAAGUCCAUCCACAUUAGGCACACACACACGACCCUACAUCCUCAAAACUCCAUCAUCUCCCUCUGCAACCUACUUGGCACCUCCGUGCCGCACUAUGUCUCUGAAGAUAAGCAAAUGAGGAUCAUCCUACUGAUGAUCUUUGAUAUGCUCCAAUAAUGAAGACCGAGCGAUUGUACAAGCUAAAACACGACUGGGCUCAGAAACAUCCAACUUCAUGAACUGAUUGUCUAAAGCCUGAACAUCCAAAGCAAGCGGUCUCUCACCGACUGGAAUUUACGCAAGGCUGCCCAUACUGGCUGACUUCCUACUCAAAGCAUCGGCCAUGACAUUGGCCUUCCCGGGAUGAUACAAGAUGGUGAUAUCAUAAUCUUUCAAUAGCUCCAACCACCUCCUCUGCCUCAAAUUUAGCUCUUUUUGCUUGAAAAAAUAGUGCAAACUCUUAUGAUCCGUGAACACCUCACACGACACGCCAUAUAAGUAAUGCCUCCAAAUCUUCAGCGCGUGAAAAAUGGCUACUAGCUCCAAGUCAUGAACUGGAUAAUUAUUCUCGUGGAUCUUCAACCGACGCGAAUCAUAUGCAAUAACCUUGCCAUUCUGUAUCAACAUCGCACCAAGUCCAAUAUGAGAUGCAUCACAAUAUACUGUAUAUGGACCUAAACUUGUGGGGAAUACCAACACUGGUGUCGUAGUCAAAGCUGUCUUGAGCUUCUGAAAGCUCGCCUCACACUCAUCCGACCAUCUGAACUGGGAACGCCCUUCUAGGUAAACCUGGUCAUCGGGGCUGCUAUAGAUGAAAGACCCUCCACAAAUCGAUGGUAAUAACCCACCAAACCCAAGAAACUCCGGAUCUCUAUAGUUGAUGUGGGUCUAGGUCAGUCCUUGACUGCCUCAAUCUUCUUACGAUCCACCUGAAUACCCUCUGCUGAUACAACAUGACCAGGAAUGAAACUGAACUCAACCAAAACUCACAUUUCAAAAACUUAGUAUACAACUGGUUGUCUCUUAGAGUCUGGAUAACGACUUGAAGAUGCUGCUCAUGCUCUUCUCGGCUGCGGGAGUAGAUCAAAAUCAUCGAUGAAAACAAUCACAAAAGAAUCCAGGUAAGGCUUGAACACUCGGUUCAUCAAAUCCAUAAAUGUUGCUAGGGCAUUUGUCAACCCAAAUGACAUCACUAGGAACUCACAAUGCCCGUACCAAGUCCAAGAAUCCAUUUUAGGGACAUCAGAUGCCCUAAUCCUCAACUGAUGGUAGCCAGAUAUCAAAUUAAUCUUCGAAAACACCUUGGCACCCUGAAGCUGGUCAAAUAAAUUAUCAAUCCUCGGCAAUAGAUACUUGUUCUUGAUGGUGAGGUUCAACUGCCGAUAAUCUAUACACAUCCUCAUCGAUCCAUCCUUCUUCUUAACAAACUACACCGGCGCACCCUAGGGCGAGACACUAGGUCUAAUAAAACCCUUAUCAAGCAAAUCCUGCAACUGCUCCUUCAACUCUGGUGGGGCCAUGCGAUACGGCAGGAUAGAAAUGGGCUGAGUGCCCGUAGCCAAAUCAAUGCAAAAGUCGAUAUCUCUGUUGGGUGGCAUCCCCGAUAGGUCUGCAGGAAAUACCUCGGGAAACUCCCGAACAACUAGCAAAGAAUCCAUAGAAGGAACCUCAGCACUAGGAUCACGAACAUAAGCCAAAUAAGCCAAAUACCCCUUCUCAACCAUAUGCCAAGCCUUUAUAUAAGAGAUAACCCUGUUAGUAGAAUGACCAGGAGUCCUCCUGCACUCCAAUCGAGGCAAACCCGUUAAGGCUAAGGUCACGGUCUUGGCAUGACAAUCCAAUAUAGCAUGAUAAGGUAACAACCAAUCCAUUCCCAAAAUAAUAUCGAAAUCGACCAUAUCGAAAAGUAGGAGAUCUACACUAGUCUCAAGACCCCCAAUAACAACCACACACGAGUGAUAGACACGAUCUACAAUAAUAGAAUCCUCUACCGGUGUGGACACAUAUACGAGAGCACUUAAAGAAUCACGAGGCACAACCAAAUAUGAAGCGAAGUAAGAAGAUACAUAAGAGUAUGUAGACCCUGGACCAAAUAGAACCGAAGCAUCUCUACUACAAAUUGAAAUAGUACCUGUGAUAACAACAUCUAAGGACUCAGCCUCAAGCCUGGCUGGGAAAGCAUAACAUCGAGGCUGGGCCCCACCACUCUGAACUAUAUCUCUAGGACGGCCUCCUGCUGGCUGGCCUCCACCUCUAGCGGCCUGGCCUUUACCUCUAACGGCCUAACCUCUACCUCUAGCGGGUUGACCCCUACCUUUAGCUCCCUGACCCCUACCUCUAGCUGGCUAGGCAGGCGGUGCUGGAAUCAUGGCACAAGAACACUGCUGCUGCGACUGAACACCCACUAAUCUCGGACAAGCCCUCCGGAUAUGCCCAUACUCACCACACUCAAAACAUCCAUCUGAAUACUGCGGUUGAGAAAACUGAGACUGACCCUGACGGGCCGGCUGACCGCGAUAAUAACUUAGAAAAGGAGGUGCUAUGAUAGGAGUUGGUAGUGCACUAUAAGCUGGCUGCCCUGAAGGAGGUACAUAAGGACCACAACCCCCUGAAGCUCCAUAGGAUGUCUGGAGUGCUGAAUGAAAUGGCCUGGGAGGAUGGCCCCUACCAAAAGUACCUCGACCUCCAGAUGAGGUCCCACUGAAUCCACAGGGAUAACGCAGCCUCUUGUCAGACCCUUGAACACUCCCCUGUGAUAGAACCAUCUCAACUCGCCUGGCCACAUUGGAUGCAUCCUGGAAAGAAAUCUUACUCCUUAUCUCCUUAGCCAUUUGCAAUCUGAUAUGUGUCGCGCCCCCUUUUUCCUUCGCGGAGUCCGGGUUUCGACAUUCAUUGGGAACAACUCGUUUCCUUUUGGAAAUUGGGUAUUUGAAGAGUCGCCACCUAACAGAUUAUGGUGAGUUAGGGCACCUAGAGAAAUUAACUCAUAUAACCAGUUUGCAUUAUCAGAGAUUAGGGUAAGGGCUCAAAAUAACCUUAAGGGGAAGGUGUUAGGCACCCUCGCGGUCCACAACGGUGGGUCCCGGCCGAAAGUAGUUAUGUGAAUUAGUCAUUUAAUAGGUAAAUAGUCUAAGCACACAUUUGCAAAUAAGGGAAGUUUAUAUAGCCUAAGCACACAUGUAUAAUCAAGAAAGUUUAGACGGUCCAAGCACACAUAUGUAAAUUUUAGACAGUCUAAGCACACAUACUUAAAUUAAAGAAGUUUGGACCGUCUAAGCAUACGUACAUAAAUUAAGGAAUUUUGAACAGUCCGAGCAUACAUGCAUAAAUUAAGGAAGGGAAGUCCUAAGUUGGUUAGACUAUAGGAUCACACCUGUACAAUACCCGGUAAGCCUUCCUCAAAUAGAGGGGUUACACGUGGCAUUAGCGCGCAGGUCAUCAUAUCCUUUUACUACCCAUUACCCUCCCCUUAGUGGUUAUAUCAGCGAGUUUAAUUAACGAACUCUAAGCGUGUUUUACCCGUCCCUUCCUUGUGGUCCCGAAGGUGUUUAGGACCUCUAUACUUAGGCAGUUCUAGACACUCCUAAGGUAUUUAAAAGGUAAAAUCUAAGCGACAACAAAGAACACACAGGACUGUCAAAUAGGGAAGCAAUUAAAGGGCUCAUGUUUUACCUCCACACAUAAACAGAUACGUAGCACGUCUCAAACAAUUGAUUUUAAAGAAAUUCAAAAAGCCCUAGAACAUAAUAUCUAGAUGAUCAUCACAAACACAGAAUAUGCAGCAUUUGUUCAAAAACGAACUGGCAGAACCCUAAUCAGCUUGCCUAUUGAUUUUAUAGCCUGUUAAACCUGGAUAAUUUCACACAUAAACAGAACCUGAUUUCACAGUUAUAAAACCAUUAAUUACAUAAGACUUGUCUAUGGGUGGGUCUGUAUGCAAUUAUAAUUCUGGGAAUUGGUUAAGACAACUUGAAGUCAUUCAAUCCUACAGGCAUACUGAUCUAGGCGAUUACUGUUAUAGAACUGAUUUUAUGCAUGUUUAUACUAGAACAUGAUGUCUAUAUGUUGGACUAUUUUUAAACCUUUUUUAUAGACAGUUAUUCAUUUAAGAGACAUAGACAUGGUUUAGAGCCAAUGCAAACAGAGUCCUAAAUCAGGAUUUCUAAUGCACAGAGAAAUGGUCAUUUUAUUAAGCAUGAUUGUAGCAGUAGUUUAAUGACAUGAUUUCCAAGUGAUAACAACUUAUGUAGAAUAAGAGAAAGAAGUGAUGAACUUAUAACAUAUUUUCUAAUAUGCAAAAUAUAAGCAUGAGUACCCUAAGGCAAGAUUUCUAAUCCAACAACACGAACCUAAAGCAUGAUUCCCAUUUGCAGAUAAGCACAACAUAGUCCUAAAGCAUGAUUCCUAUCAUAAUAUAAACCUAAAGCAGGAUUUCUACCCGGUUUCCCCACAAAAACCAUAUAGGAACCCUCCCCUUUUACUAAUCACCCCAACAUCUGUUUACAAAUAAUAUUAUUAUAGACCAGGAUCAAAUGAAUUACAUAGGUAAAUGAAACUAUACUAUAUGGAGCUUAAAUCAGGCCCAAAGUAAACCUGAGAAUGCCAAGCCUUCAAUAGAGUCUCAGAAGCCAAAGAUCUUACAACCAAUAAUAUAUGUCUUGGUAUGUCAGAGUUCCCUAAGGGCGUCAAGGAUCCCGGACAGUGCUCACACCAAGACCUUUCAUCAAAUAGGGAUUAGUUAUGUGUGGCGUGGAAGGGCCAGCCCUGGUAUGACAGAGUUUAGAGAGAUCUCAAGGAUCCCUAAGCAGUAUACACACCAGAGGGGCAGAACUUAAUAGUCUAAGAGUAAGGUGAGAGUACUUGACAUAGUGUUGAAAGACUUAGUAAAACUAUUUAGAAGUGAAAAAGAUUUAGAAACAGUUUUUAAAGAUGCUAGGAAUGACCAGUUUUGAGAAGAAUACUAAGAGUAGGAGCAACAUUUUUUGAAAUCAUUUUUGAGGAAAGCAUACUCAGCAAACAACCAAAUUAAUCAUAGAAUACCCAAAUUCACUUAACAAGCAGAUUUACAAACAGGGGAUGAAGAGGAUUGGGGAACAUAUAGGGUUGAAACCACAUAAACAAAGAAAUAUUUGAUACAACAAAUAUACAUAACAACUAGGAGUCUACUGAACAAGUCAAUCAUGGUAACAAACAGUUAAAACAUAGAGAAAGAAGGCAGCAAGAUCAUGUUGAGGACAAGAGUUUGUUGAACAAAAUUUGACAUACAAUUAGGGCCAAUCGAAUGUACUAGAAAACUAAGUAACUACAUGGUCAUACCAGUUAAGGAGGGGUAAGGGAACUAAGUAAAUAUGCUGGAAAAGUAUCAAAGAACUAAGUGAAGUCAGAUAUGUUGAUUACACAUAAGGCAGGAUUUAGACAUGCUUAAUAACAGCAAGCAGAGAAACAAAUUAAAUAACUAGUACAGGAACAAGCAUGGAUGUAUAGACAUGGAACACAUAAAGUUGAGUUUCAAAAUUUAACUAGAGACAUACCAGUUAAAGAAGAAAAUGCAGAAUGUAAAAAACAGGAGCAAUUUCACUAUCUAGCCUUGGCUUUCAGCCAGUUAAACCAACAGUUAGCACAAGUAGCAAAGAAAGAAGAGAGAGUUUGAAUGUAUGUGUGUGUAUUCUGAACUGUGUGUUCGUAUUUGAGAGGUAAAAUAAGAGUGCUUAUAUAGUAGUUCAAGAGUAGAGCCAAUAAGGUAAAAGAAUAAGAAAUCAGCAAUUAAGGACAAUCAUAAUCCAAUCACAUAAGGAGUUCAAAAUAGACUCCUUUAAUUAGGGGUAAUUGGCUAAACGGUAAUAAUAGAGAGUCUAAUUAAGGAAAGAAGUUCAAAUCAAACCAAAUAAAAGAGUUCAGAAUAGAAUAAUCAGGGGUCUAAUUAAGGAAAGAAUCAUGUAAAGGAAUCAGUAAAUAUACAGGUAAUCAAAUGAGGCAAGAAUGACUAAUUAAGGUCGUAAACAGGAAAACAUCAAGACUUAGGCAUACAAAUCUCUAAUAGAGCAAAUCAAUCAGCCAAAUUUCAAAGUAACAAUGAUUUCUGGAAAGAAUAUAUCAACUCCCAUAAAUAGUGAAUAAACUAAAUAAAGACUUCACAAAAAUAUAGAAAUUAGCCGGAAAGCCAAAUUAGAACCCUAACAGGGCUCAAUUAGGGUAAAAUUACAGGAUAUUGGAUUUGACAAAGAAAAACAUGCAAGGCGGAAGAUACAGAGCAAAUUAAUACGAUUGGUAACACGGAAAGACCCAAAAUCGAAGCAAGAAUUUGGAAAGAUCAGUAUAUUACAUAGAGUCAAUUAGGGUUCGAGUACUCUUGCAAAAAAAAUCGGUCAUGAAGACGAAAAUAGAAACGAUUAAACAUCUAGAAGUCAGAAAGCUUUUGAAAAACAACUCGUAAUGAACCCUAGUUUUAGGGAAAAGGAAGAACAAACGAUUAAAAGCAGAAAAUUUAAGAGAAAAACAUGUAAUAGUGCUCGAUUCAUCUUAGAUCUAUAUAGAUCUGGAAAUAAUUGAAGGUAAUAGACAAGGGUUUUUGGAAACAUAACAGAGAUGAGAGCAUAGGUUUAGAAACCAUGAUUCGUAACAAAAUAAAGAGAAGUUCUCACUCACAGUCGAUAAAAUGGCCUAAGACAGGCUAACCAGUAGAGUUUCAAACCAGAACCAACUAGGUUCUUAGAGAUCCCCUCAAGGAUCUAAGAAGUCUAGGAGCCAUGGUGCGUAGAAGGCCAGGAAUGACUGGAGAAGCCAUAGGAGCGUCAUAAGGUGAAGGUUUACGCCGGUGACGACGCUUAGAAUUAGGGUUAGGUCGAGAGACUUUGAGAGAAGAGCGAAGAGGUGACGACGUGUGAGGUGAGAAAAUGAGAAGUUUGGGGGGGGGGUCAUUUUAGGUUAAUUAUGGAAAGAAGGUUGUGGACCGUUGAUCAAAACGAUCAACUGUCAGGAUUAGAUGGGGUAUUGGGUCGGGCAGGUUUGGGUUUGGGCCUAAGGAAAAUGGGCUAAUUUAGAGGGGUUAUUUGGGCUGGUUUUAAAAGGGUUAGAUCUGAAAAUAAGAGGUCUACUUAUUAAAUACCCAAGUAAUUGAAUAAAAAUUAUUUUAUAAAAUAAUUAACAAUAAGAAAAAAUAAUUUUCAUGCAUAGAAGUGCUUUAAAAUAAUUAUUUAAUAUUUUGAAAAUAUAAUGGACCAAUUUCUGGUAAAAUAAUACAAUGAUGUAUACAUGGACUAUAAUUGCAAAAUUAUUGCAAUUGUAACUAAAAGGUAUAAAUCUGACCAUUUGUGAAAUAAUUUGAACUUAAUAUGGCUAUAAGUAGCAAAAUUAAAUCAAUAAAAUAUUAUAGAGUCAUUUGUGAUGCAAUUUUAUAAUUAUUUAUAUAAAUAAAAUACUAGAAUAAAUUAAUUUAAAAAUAUAGAAUUAUGGAAAAAUAUCAGUUGAUGUUAAUGCAUAGUUUUGAAGGUAUAUAUGCACUUAAUAUUAUAGGAAAAAAAUGGGUAUCAACAAUAGAUUGAGCUAGUCCCUUAAUAAACCUUCUCUCUCUCUCUCUCUCUCUCUCUCUCGGUGGGAAGUAUGAGAAGAGCAUGAUGGGCCAAGUCGAUAAAUCUGGUCUCGUACUGAGUGACGGUUAUAAAACCCUGCUGGAGGCGCUCAAACUGCCUCCUAUAAUUCUUUCUCUAAGUGAUAGGGAGAAACUUCUCCAGAAAUAGCUGAGAGAACUGGUUCCAAGUCAAAGCAGGCGACCCAGCUGGUCUGGCCAAACAAUAAUCUCUCCACCAAUUCUUGGCGGAACCUGACGGACGAAAAGUAACAAAGUCGACCCCAUUGAUCUCCACUAUCCCCAUAUUCCGUAGAACCUCAUGACAGUUGUACAAAUAGUCCUGGGGAUCCUCUGAGGAUGUACCGCCAUAGGUAGUAGUGAAAAGCUUGGUGAACCUGUCCAACCUCCAAAAAGCAUCAGAAGACAUAACUGCUCCAUCACCGGUCUGAGCUACAACACCCGUCGGGACUACCCCAACUGGCUGAGCUGCUGGAGUUUAAAGCUGAGGAGCCAUUUGCUCCAGAGUGCGAGUAGCGGGAGUCUGUACUCCUCCCCCAGCUCGAGAGGCAGCUGGUGCUACAGGAAGUACGCCGGCCUGAGUAAAACUCUCCAUAAGGCCCACUAAUCCGACCAAAGCAUCCUGAAGUACCGAGAUAGCUAUGAAUCCCUCCGGAACCUGAGCUGGCCCUACUGGAAUGGUCUGGGCCGGAACUUCAUCAUCAAGCUCUACCUGAGGCUCCGCCACUGGUGCUGUUGCUCGAGCGUUAGGCUGAGCCCUGCCCCUGCCUUGGCCUCUAGAACGGCCUCGGCCUCGUCCUCUACCCCUCGUAGGAGCUGCCACUGGGGGCUUGGGCUGCUGAUCAGCUGAUGAAGCGGUACGUUUUCUCGCCAUCUGCGAAAGAAUAGAGUAGAAAGUUCAAUUAGUAUUGAGAGAUCAAACCACACGACAUAGAUGAAUAGAAGUAAAAUUGCUCCUAACUCUGUAGCCUUUAAGGGAUAAGCACAGACAUCUCUGUACCGAUCCCUCAAACUCUACUAAGCUUGUUCAUGAAUU
rnacentral:lncRNA from 1 species